rnacentral:rRNA from 2 species
AGAGAUAGGGCGUUUUCCUUCGGGAACGCAAUGACAGGUGGUGCAUGGUCGUCGUCAGCUCGUGUCGUGAGAUGUUGGGUUAAGUCCCGCAACGAGCGCAACCCUUGUUACUAGUUGCCAGCAUUAAGUUGGGCACUCUAGUGAGACUGCCGGUGACAAACCGGAGGAAGGUGGGGACGACGUCAGAUCAUCAUGCCCCUUAUGACCUGGGCUACACACGUGCUACAAUGGACGGUACAACGAGUCGCGAACUCGCGAGGGCAAGCAAAUCUCUUAAAACCGUUCUCAGUUCGGACUGCAGGCUGCAACUCGCCUGCACGAAGUCGGAAUCGCUAGUAAUCGCGGAUCAGCAUGCCGCGGUGAAUACGUUCCCGGGUCUUGUACACACCGC